GUGUGAGCAUGCCUGUCG
rnacentral:sRNA from 1 species